CCUGCCUCAGCCUCCUCACUGUGCCUCCGUGCCCUGUCCUUUAAGUGUCCUACCAUUUCUGGACACUAUUAUCCUGGGGACACCCGUGUAGCACACGAGCCUUGGGGGGUGAACCACACCAAACCACAGCACCCACCAACCUCAGGACGAGGCCAGGAUUACGAAGUCGCAGUGCGGAGCCGGGGGCGACUCUCCCAAAUCCCACUGUGUGCGGUGACUGCUGAGUUGUCCGAGGCCACCCCUGACUGGACCCAAGGGUCCCAUCCUGGGCUGGACGUUGGCCGUGGUGGGAACGAGGGCUGCUCAGGCUCUACGCGGCCCCGGGGGUCUCCACACCCAGGGGGCUCCUCCGCCCUCCCUCUCCCGCCCUCAGGUGGACCCUGCAGGCUGUGGUCCCUCACCCAGGUCGGACGGCUGCCUUGCCACGUCCCCGUCCGUUCCUGUCCCACCACCCACCUCACCUCUGCAGCAUUUCUGCCGGUCAGGCCCACUGUGACCACUUCCCCAAACACAGGCCCCAGGACCCUGGGAGGAGGCAGUGUUAAACUUGUCCUUUUACCCCCUGAGCAGGGGCCACAAGGACCUCAGGAGCCUGGCACAAAGGGAAACAGGUGGCUCGUCCCCGACUCCAGGGGUGGGGGGUGGGCUCCAGGUACAGAGUGGCAGGCAAGUCUGUGAGGGCCAGCGCUACGGCUGGAAGGUGUCCCUCCAAAGUCCACGUGUCGGGAAUGCAGGC
rnacentral:lncRNA from 1 species